UAUCUCUGUAGAGUCUGCAUAUCAAUAAGCGGAGGAAAAGAAACUAACUAGGAUUCCCUCAGUAACGGCGAGUGAAGCGGGAAGAGCUCAAAUUUGAAAUCUUCAAGGUUUUACCUUGACGAAUUGUAGUUUAAAGAAGUGUUUUCUGUUGGAAUUUUGGUAAAAGUUCUUUGGAAAAAGACAUCAAAGAGGGUGAGAAUCCCGUAUUUGACCAUUAUUUCCAGCUUUGUGAUACACUUUCAAAGAGUCGGAUUGUUUGGGAAUGCAGUCCAAAAUGGGUGGUAAAUUUCAUCUAAAGCUAAAUACUGGCGAGAGACCGAUAGCGAACAAGUACCGUGAGGGAAAGAUGAAAAGAACUUUGAAAAGAGAGUUAAACAGUACGUGAAAUUGUCAAAAGGGAAGCGUUUGACACCAGUGUUGUUUUCUCGAAAAUCAAUUAAAAAAGAUUGGAUUUUGUGUUGUAUUGACUUUAUCAGCUUUCUGCACUCUUUUCUUGUCUUUUUUAAUGCACUUUUCGUUUAACAAGUCAACAUCAAUUUCUUUUGUUGUAAAAGGGUCAUUGGAAGGUGGCUUUCUUUUCGGAGAAAGUGUUUAUAGCCUUUGACCUCUGCAAUCGGAGAGAUUGAGGUCUGCAGCGUAGAUCCUUCGGGGUUAGAUGCAUUUGUGCUAAGUUAUAGCCUUUCAUAGACAACUUGUUGACUAUGAUCAGUCAUGUAGCUUACUCGCUUAUGUCAUUUUACCUACGCUUAGGAUGUUGAACGCGCACAGAGUCU
rnacentral:rRNA from 1 species